AAUAGAUACCCGGGUAGUCCACGCCGUAAACGAUGAAUGCUAGGUGUUAGGGGUUUCGAUACCCUUGGUGCCGAAGUUAACACAUUAAGCAUUCCGCCUGGGGAGUACGGCCGCAAGGCUGAAACUCAAAGGAAUUGACGGGGACCCGCACAAGCAGUGGAGUAUGUGGUUUAAUUCGAAGCAACGCGAAGAACCUUACCAGGUCUUGACAUCCCCCUGACCGGUACAGAGAUGUACCUUUCCUUCGGGACAGGGGAGACAGGUGGUGCAUGGUUGUCGUCAGCUCGUGUCGUGAGAUGUUGGGUUAAGUCCCGCAACGAGCGCAACCCUUGACUUUAGUUGCCAGCAGGUAAGGCUGGGCACUCUAGAGUGACUGCCGGUGACAAACCGGAGGAAGGUGGGGAUGACGUCAAAUCAUCAUGCCCCUUAUGACCUGGGCUACACACGUACUACAAUGGCCGGUACAACGGGAAGCGAAGGAGCGAUCUGGAGCGAAUCCUUUAAAGCCGGUCUCAGUUCGGAUUGCAGGCUGCAACUCG
rnacentral:rRNA from 1 species